CGUAGGGGGCAAACGUUGUCCGGAUUUACUGGGUGUAAAGGGUGCUCAGGCGGUCUUGUAAGUCAGAAGUGAAAUCCUAGGGCUUAACUCUGGAACUGCUUUUGAUACUGCAAGGCUUGAAUAUGGAAGAGGAGGGUGGAAUUUCUGGUGUAGCAGUGAAAUGCGUAGAUAUCAGAAAGAACACCAGUGGCGAAGGCGGCCCUCUGGUCCAUUAUUGACGCUAAAGCACGAAAGCGUGGGGAGCAAACAGGAUUAGAUACCCUGGUAGUCCACGCCUUAAACGAUGAAUACUAGACGUUGGGGUCAAACUCAGUGUCGCAGCUAACGCAUUAAGUAUUCCACCUGGGGAGUACGAUCGCAAGGUUG
rnacentral:rRNA from 1 species